rnacentral:rRNA from 1 species
AUUGAACGCUGGCGGAAUGCUUUACACAUGCAAGUCGAGCGGCAGCGCGGCCUUCGGGCUGGCGGCGAGCGGCGAACGGGUGAGUAAUGCAUCGGAACAUGCUCAGUCGUGGGGGAUAACACUUCGAAAGAAGUGCUAAUACCGCAUACGUCCUGAGGGGGAAAGCGGGGGAUCGCAAGACCUCGCGCGAUUGGAGUGGCCGAUGUCAGAUUAGCUAGUUGGUGGGGUAAAGGCCUACCAAGGCGACGAUCUGUAGCUGGUCUGAGAGGAUGAUCAGCCACACUGGGACUGAGACACGGCCCAGACUCCUACGGGAGGCAGCAGUGGGGAAUUUUGGACAAUGGGGGCAACCCUGAUCCAGCCAUUCCGCGUGAGUGAAGAAGGCCUUCGGGUUGUAAAGCUCUUUCGGCAGGAACGAAACGGUGGGCUCUAACAUAGUCCGCUAAUGACGGUACCUGAAGAAGAAGCACCGGCUAACUACGUG